AUACGGAGGGUGCAAGCGUUACUCGGAAUCACUGGGCGUAAAGCGCGCGCAGGCGGCUUGAUAAGUUGGAUGUGAAAGCCUACGGCUCAACCGUAGAACUGCAUCCAAAACUGUCAAGCUAGAGUCUGGGAGGGGAAGAUGGAAUUAGUUGUGUAGGGGUAAAAUCCGUAGAGAUAACUAGGAAUACCAAAAGCGAAGGCGAUCUUCUGGAACAGUACUGACGCUGAGACGCGAAAGCGUGGGGAGCAAACAGGAUUAGAAACCCUAGUAGUCC
rnacentral:rRNA from 1 species